UACGUAGGGCGCAAGCGUUGUCCGGAAUUAUUGGGCGUAAAGAGCUCGUAGGCGGUCUGUCGCGUCUGUUGUGAAAACUCGAGGCUCAACCUCGGGCUUGCAGUGGAUACGGGCAGACUAGAGUGCGGUAGGGGAGACUGGAAUUCCUGGUGUAGCGGUGGAAUGCGCAGAUAUCAGGAAGAACACCUAUGGCGAAGGCAGCUCUCUGGGACGGUACUGACGCUGAGGAGCGAAAGCGUGGGGAGCGAACAGG
rnacentral:rRNA from 1 species